GACGAACGCUGGCGGCGUGCCUAAUACAUGCAAGUCGAACGCAGUGGGAACGGGGGAGUAACACGUGGGUAACCUCGCAUCAGAGGGGAUAAAACUUGGAAAAAGGUGCUAAACCGCUACUGAAGGAUGGACCAGCGGUGCAUUAGCUAGUUGGGGAGGUAACGGCUCACCAAGGCCACGAUGCAUAGCGGACCUGAGAGGGGGACCGGCCACAUGGGGACUGAGACACGGCCCAGACUCCUACGGGAGGCAGCAGUAGGAAAUCUUCGGAAAUGGACGAAAGUCUGACCGAGCAACGCCGCGUGAGGGAAGAAGGUUUUCGGUUCGUAAACCUCUGUUGUUAGAGAAGCGGUAUCUAACCAGAAAGCCACGGCUAACUCCGUGCCAGCAGCCGCGGUAAUUC
rnacentral:rRNA from 1 species